rnacentral:tRNA from 1 species
GCCUGGGUGGCUCAGUCAGUUGAGCGUCUGACUUCGGCUCAGGUCAUGAUCUCGUGGUUUGUGAGUUCGAGCCCCACAUCAGGCU